rnacentral:tRNA from 1 species
GUCAAGUUAGUUUAACAAAAACGUCAGCCUGUGGAUUUGAAGAUGAAAAUUUUAUUUCACUUGACC